rnacentral:rRNA from 1 species
AGCUUAGAGUUUGAUCCUGGCUCAGAUUGAACGCUGGCGGCAGGCCUAACACAUGCAAGUCGAGCGGAUGAAGGGAGCUUGCUCUUGGAUUCAGCGGCGGACGGGUGAGUAAUGCCUAGGAAUCUGCCUGGUAGUGGGGGACAACGUUUCGAAAGGAACGCUAAUACCGCAUACGUCCUACGGGAGAAAGCAGGGGACCUUUCGGGCCUUGCGCUAUCAGAUGAGCCUAGGUCGGAUUAGCUAGUUGGUGAGGUAAUGGCUCACCAAGGCGACGAUCCGUAACUGGUCUGAGAGGAUGAUCAGUCACACUGGAACUGAGACACGGUCCAGACUCCUACGGGAGGCAGCAGUGGGGAAUAUUGGACAAUGGGCGAAAGCCUGAUCCAGCCAUGCCGCGUGUGUGAAGAAGGUCUUCGGAUUGUAAAGCACUUUAAGUUGGGAGGAAGGGUUGUAGAUUAAUACUCUGCAAUUUUGACGUUACCGACAGAAUAAGCACCGGCUACCUCUGUGCCAGCAGCCGCGGUAAUACAGAGGGUGCAAGCGUUAAUCGGAAUUACUGGGCGUAAAGCGCGCGUAGGUGGUUUGUUAAGUUGGAUGUGAAAUCCCCGGGCUCAACCUGGGAACUGCAUCCAAAACUGGCAAGCUAGAGUAUGGUAGAGGGUGGUGGAAUUUCCUGUGUAGCGGUGAAAUGCGUAGAUAUAGGAAGGAACACCAGUGGCGAAGGCGACCACCUGGACUGAUACUGACACUGAGGUGCGAAAGCGUGGGGAGCAAGCAGGAUUAGAUACCCUGGUAGUCCACGCCGUAAACGAUGUCAACUAGCCGUUGGGAGCCUUGAGCUCUUAGUGGCGCAGCUAACGCAUUAAGUUGACCGCCUGGGGAGUACGGCCGCAAGGUUAAAACUCAAAUGAAUUGACGGGGGCCCGCACAAGCGGUGGAGCAUGUGGUUUAAUUCGAAGCAACGCGAAGAACCUUACCAGGCCUUGACAUCCAAUGAACUUUCCAGAGAUGGAUUGGUGCCUUCGGGAGCAUUGAGACAGGUGCUGCAUGGCUGUCGUCAGCUCGUGUCGUGAGAUGUUGGGUUAGGUCCCGUAACGAGCGCAACCCUUGUCCUUAGUUGCCAGCACGUAAUGGUGGGCACUCUAAGGAGACUGCCGGUGACAAACCGGAGGAAGGUGGGGAUGACGUCAAGUCAUCAUGGCCCUUACGGCCUGGGCUACACACGUGCUACAAUGGUCGGUACAAAGGGUUGCCAAGCCGCGAGGUGGAGCUAAUCCCAUAAAACCGAUCGUAGUCCGGAUCGCAGUCUGCAACUCGACUGUGUGAAGUCGGAAUCGCUAGUAAUCGCGAAUCAGAAUGUCGCGGUGAAUACGUUCCCGGGCCUUGUACACACCGCCCGUCACACCAUGGGAGUGGGUUGCACCAGAAGUAGCUAGUCUAACCUUCGGGAGGACGGUUACCACGGUGUGAUUCAUGACUGGGGUGAAGUCGUAACAAGGUAACCAAGCC